UACGGAAGGCAGCAGUGGGGAAUAUUGGACAAUGGGCGAAAGCCUGAUCCAGCCAUGCCGCAUGAGUGAAGAAGGCCUUCGGGUUGUAAAGCUCUUUUAGUGAGAAAGAUAAUGACGGUACUCACAGAAGAAGUCCUGGCUAACUCCGUGCCAGCAGCCGCGGUAAUACGGAGAGGGCUAGCGUUAUCCGGAAUUAUUGGGCGUAAAGAGCGCGUAGGCUGAUUAGUAAGUUAAAAGUGAAAUCCCAAAGCUUAACUUUGGAAUUGCUUUUUAAAACUGCUAGUCUAGAGAUUGAAAGAGGAUAGAGGAAUUCCUAGUGUAGAGGUGAAAUUCGUAAAUAUUAGGAGGAACACCAGUGGCGAAGGCGUCUAUCUGGUUCAAAUCUGACGCUGAGGCGCGAAGGGCGUGGGGAGCAAACAGGGAUUAGAUACC
rnacentral:rRNA from 1 species